AAAUCCCGGACGAGCCCGCUUUUUUUUUUCUCUGUUAAGAGACCAAUUUUUUUUCUUGUUACUAGGCCCUGGUGCAAGACUAUAAAGUCCCCACAUCAAUUAUGUUCUUAUUCGAUUAAGUUUGACUAAAUAAAGGUCCUGUGUUGUAAUUUUGUUUUAUUUUUUUCAGUACAGUAGUUACAAAAAUGUCUCAAUGUUACAAUAUUAUUAGAAGAGACCUGUUGAUUCUUACCAAUCAAAUAGAUGCAAACUCUGUGUCUCAGGACUAUAUUCUCUACCGUGUUGAAGUGGCGAACCUGGACGUCUGUACUUAGAUAUAUCAGUCAGCGCAAUCAAAUAUUAAAUAGUCUGGUCUGACUGCCUCCGACAUUUUCAACUUCUUGUCAGUGUGUGAAAGAACAAUUCGGGGAAGAAUGGAAGAGAAUAACACACGAGUUUCAGACUUGUAUUCAACUCUGGGUGACGAUGAGCUGGACUGCAUUGUUUCUGUAAUCCAUCAUAACUACCCCAAUACUGGUUACAAAAUGAUGCCUGGUCACCUAAAAUGGCGAGGCAUUCGGAUUCAGAGUAAGGUGGCGUGUAGUCAUUCAUGUGAAGGCUUUAGCCGGCUGAUUGUUUACCUUAAAGCUGCCACCAACAACGGAGCCUGCCCGGGUGAAAUCAGAUAAAGGGGGAGGAAAUGUAGACGUGGCACACUUCAUGGUGAACAGCAGAGGGGAGAACAGAAGUUCACACAUCACUGGAUGAAGUGUGCACAAUCAGAGGUAAAUAUGAACUUAAUAUUACACUAGGUGGAUGAUGCUCCUUGUCUGUGGUACUAUAGUAUCCAUUUAACUGACACACUUGUUGAUGGCACCUCUACUGUUUCUUUUUCUACAAGGUCUGUGCUCUGAAGUGAAGUCGCCUGCGCUCUAAAAUAAUAAAUAUGAAUUCAGAAUCAUUUAGUAUCAAGUGACUAAGAAGUUGUGAACAGCAAUGUUGGAAUUACCAUUUCCUAAAACCUACAUUACACACUAAAGGUAUUUGUUCAUUUAAACUAAAGUAAAACUUUCAAAAAAGAUUAUGCAUUUGUUAACCUUCAAUAAAUACAUUAAGAAAAAAUUCAUACCCACUACAGUUGUCGCUGUGACUCUUUAUUUUGGAAAAGGAGAAGUCUUUCUCACAUAUGAUACACUUCAUUGAUGGUCCAGUAGGUAAAGAAAAUCCAGGAACCUAUGAGAUGAAUUGUGUCAGUCUUGUAUCAUUCACUGCAAGUGCAAUGUUACACUAUUGCUGAAGGUUACACAUGUUUAAAAAGAUAGAAAAUAAACACAUUGAACUUUCAAAUCCCCCUAAAUAAAAAUGCUAAAUACAUUUUAACUUCUUAUUGACAUAUCCUUUUAUGAACACACUUAGAAUUAUCAUAAGAAAUCAAUAAAUUCUUACUUGAUCCAUAUUAAGUCAACUUCAUAUAUAUGACUGCAGAGCCAAUUUGUGUCUCUGGAUUUCGGAGGUAUCUUGUACAGUACCCUUCAUUAGGGCACAGAAUCACAGAGAACUUACAGCUGUGUGUAGAGCCAGAUAUCUUUAAAAGC